rnacentral:rRNA from 1 species
UGGCGGUAGCCUACACAUGCAAGUCGAACGGCAGCACAGUAAGAGCUUGCUCUUAUGGGUGGCGAGUGGCGGACGGGUGAGGAAUACAUCGGAAUCUACUUUUUCGUGGGGGAUAACGUAGGGAAACUUACGCUAAUACCGCAUACGACCUACGGGUGAAAGCAGGGGAUCUUCGGACCUUGCGCGAUUGAAUGAGCCGAUGUCGGAUUAGCUAGUUGGCGGGGUAAAGGCCCACCAAGGCGACGAUCCGUAGCUGGUCUGAGAGGAUGAUCAGCCACACUGGAACUGAGACACGGUCCAGACUCCUACGGGAGGCAGCAGUGGGGAAUAUUGGACAAUGGGCGCAAGCCUGAUCCAGCCAUACCGCGUGGGUGAAGAAGGCCUUCGGGUUGUAAAGCCCUUUUGUUGGGAAAGAAAUCCAGCCGGCUAAUACCUGGUUGGGAUGACGGUACCCAAAGAAUAAGCACCGGCUAACUUCGUGCCAGCAGCCGCGGUAAUACGAAGGGUGCAAGCGUU